CUAGCCUGCCAGAAGUUUGAGAGGGUGAAGACUGGCACUGGAGUUGAAGCCCAUCAAAGUUCUUUCACCGUGGCACAGGAUCGGAAUGGCAACAGCUGGUGUCUGACGGCGACCAAUCACUUUACCAAGUGGGUGGAGGCAAUACCCAUUAAGGACGAGACUGGUGAGGCCAACUUCAAGGUGAUGGUAGACAUCUUCAACACGCACGAUUCUCCUGAGAUCAUCUUGAGUGACCAAGGUCAUGAAUGCUGGAACAAGGUUUGGUGAAUGUACCAACCAGACCCUCAAGACUGCCAUGGGCUAGUCCCUUAAUUGGUACCAGGAAGGGUGGGAGACAACCUGAAGUCGUCAAACCAGAUCAGAAUUCCUUUGAGGACCACCUUCAAGCACGGACUGAGAAGGAUGGGGAGUUUUUUAACCAGAUGAGACUGAACAUGGACAAGGCCCAGGAAAACUGAAGGAGAUCUACCGGAGCAGAAUCAAGAAGGGGACCAAGUGCUACGAGAUCCUGGCAAAUGACUUGGUUUGGAAGAAGGACAAAAGGAAGGCGAGACCUGGGAAACCUUGCUGCUCUUUCGCUCCCAGCUGGGGUCACCAUCUGUUAGUGAAUAUAAAACAUCUCAGAUAAUAACUAUUUGUAGUUUCCCCAACUCUGAUAGUUUACUCUUUGUCUUCCUUGAGUUACAUCGGUGGAAGCCAACAAUUUUCUCCAGUUGGAGCAGUUGGACGGUGGACCACAAAAAGCACUGACGUCCCUCACUUCAGUGAAGCCCAAUAGACAAAGACCAUCGACUGUCCAAGCCCAAGAGGUAUCCCUUGAGGACCUAGGGGUUCUGCCCAACACCCAGACAUGGAACCACCUGAUGUCCUCCAUUACUAAGCACCCUCCAACUUUUCAUUACAUCAUCUACAGCUACUGUUGUUGUCAUGUUGUUAUCCGCUAAUAAAGUUUUUUGCUC